UACGAAGGGGGCAAGCGUUGUUCGGAAUUACUGGGCGUAAAGGGCGCGUAGGCGGCCCUGCAAGUCAGGCGUGAAAUUCCCGGGCUCAACCUGGGGGCUGCGCUUGAGACUGUGGGGCUAGAGGCCGAGAGAGGGUGGUGGAAUUCCCAGUGUAGAGGUGAAAUUCGUAGAUAUUGGGAAGAACACCGGUGGCGAAGGCGGCCACCUGGCUCGGUUCUGACGCUGAGGCGCGACAGCGUGGGGAGCAAACAGG
rnacentral:rRNA from 1 species